AUUGAACGCUGGCGGCAGGCCUAACACAUGCAAGUCGAGCGGAUGAAGGGAGCUUGCUCCUGGAUUCAGCGGCGGACGGGUGAGUAAUGCCUAGGAAUCUGCCUGGUAGUGGGGGAUAACGUCCGGAAACGGGCGCUAAUACCGCAUACGUCCUGAGGGAGAAAGUGGGGGAUCUUCGGACCUCACGCUAUCAGAUGAGCCUAGGUCGGAUUAGCUAGUUGGUGGGGUAAAGGCCUACCAAGGCGACGAUCCGUAACUGGUCUGAGAGGAUGAUCAGUCACACUGGAACUGAGACACGGUCCAGACUCCUACGGGAGGCAGCAGUGGGGAAUAUUGGACAAUGGGCGAGAGCCUGAUCCAGCCAUGCCGCGUGUGUGAAGAAGGUCUUCGGAUUGUAAAGCACUUUAAGUUGGGAGGAAGGGCAGUAAGUUAAUACCUUGCUGUUUUGACGUUACCAACAGAAUAAGCACCAGCUAACUUCGUG
rnacentral:rRNA from 1 species